rnacentral:misc_RNA from 1 species
GGUUUGUUCAUGCUGUCAACCUAUGUACAUCACAUUCCAUAAAUAAUUAUCCACCAUAGUUGUACUAUAUAUUGUUGAUCACAAAAGUAUAGCAAGCAUGCAUGAUAAAUUUGCGUUCUGAUUAAAACACACUGUUUUUUAUGCUUCAAGAAUUGAAUAAUAAUGAGGAACCCCACCACCCCAUCUUUAAUCUAAUAGCAUUGCAAGAUUAGGUUGAGCAGAUUAUACAUGGUUCAUCUUGGAGUUGGAGGUCAUGAGGAAGCAAAAAUGAUUAAUAGCUAUAAUGAAAAAGAUUACCUUUAUUAGAG